UUCGCAAUGCCCGAAAGGGUGACGAAGCGACGCCGCGUGUGGGAAGAAGGCCUUCGGGUUGUAAACCACUGUCGGGAGUUAAGAAAUGCAAGGAUAUUAAUAGUGUCUUUGUUUGACUAAGGCUCCGGAGGAAGCCACGGCUAACUCUGUGCCAGCAGCCGCGGUAAUACAGAGGCGGCAAGCGUUGUUCGGAAUUAUUGGGCGUAAAGAGCACGUAGGCGGCUAUGUAAGUCAGUUGUGAAAGCCUUCUGCUUAACGGAAGAACAGCAUCUGAUACUGCAAGGCUAGAGUGCGGAAGGGGAGAGUGGAACUUCUGGUGGAGCGGUGAAAUGCGUAGAUAUCAGAAGGAACACCGGCGGCGAAGGCGACUCUCUGGUCCGUAACUGACGCUGAGUGUGCGAAAGCUAGGGGAGCAAACGGGAUUAGAUACCCCGGUAGUCCUAGCCGUAAACGAUGGGCACUAAGUAGAGGGGUUUU
rnacentral:rRNA from 1 species